CCCUUAGACGUUCUGGGCCGCACGCGCGCUACACUGACCAGUGCAACAAGCAUCCGUCCUUGGCCGACAGGCCCGGGCAAUCUUUGAACGCUGGUCGUGAUGGGGAUAGACUUUUGCAAUUUUUGGUCUUCAACGAGGAAUUCCUAGUAAACGCAAGUCAUCAACUUGCAUUGAUUACGUCCCUGCCCUUUGUACACACCGCCCGUCGCACCUACCGAUUGAAUGGUCCGGUGAAAAUUUCGGAUACCGGCAUUGCUGGCGGUUCGCCGCCGGCGACGCUGGUAGAAGAUCUUUAAACCUUAUCAUUUAGAGGAAGGAGAAGUCGUAACA
rnacentral:rRNA from 1 species